rnacentral:rRNA from 1 species
AGUGGGGAAUAUUGGACAAUGGGGGCAACCCUGAUCCAGCCAUGCCGCGUGAGUGAAGAAGGCCUUCGGGUUGUAAAGCUCUUUCAGAUGCGAAGAUGAUGACGGUAACAUCAGAAGAAGCCCCGGCUAAUUUCGUGCCAGCAGCCGCGGUAAUACGAAAGGGGCUAGCGUUGUUCGGAUUUACUGGGCGUAAAGGGCACGCAGGCGGUCUUGCCAGUCAGGGGUGAAAGCCCGGGGCUCAACCUCGGAACUGCCUCUGAUACUGUAAGACUUGAGACUAGGAGAGGGUGGUGGAAUUCCCAGUGUAGAGGUGAAAUUCGUAGAUAUUGGGAGGAACACCAGAGGCGAAGGCGGCCACCUGGACUAGAUCUGACGCUCAGGUGCGAAAGCGUGGGGAGCAAACAGGAUUAGAUACCCUGGUAGUCCACGCCGUAAACGAUGAGUGCUAGUUGUCGGGGCUUCGGUUUCGGUGACGCAGCUAACGCAUUAAGCACUCCGCCUGGGGAGUACGGUCGCAAGAUUA